rnacentral:tRNA from 12 species
GCCCCAUUGGCUCAGCUGGUAGAGCGUCGUGCUUAUGUAUUACAAUGCAUGUUAGAGUCACGCGAACGUCGCCAGUUCGAUCCUGGCAUGGGGCA